rnacentral:lncRNA from 1 species
CCUUAAUGCGGCUGUACAGAGAGUAUUUAACUAUCGAAUUGACUGCAAGAUGAUACGAAGCCUAGACUUCAUUACGCCAUGUAAUUUGCAAUGUUUGUCGUAUUUGCUAAUGUCCAGAUGUAGUAAAAAAGACGAUAAAAAUCACGCCUAGAACUCGCUUGCAGAUUUUACAGUCGGGAUGUGUUAUUAUAACGGAUUAAGCGCGUUUUGUGUUUAAAAUCGUGACAUCAAACUACUACCAAGCUUUCUUCGAGCCGAAAAAAUCCGCCGCUUCGAUACUUGUGUGUAAGCUUGAAAGAGGUAAAAUAAGGUUUUUGAAAAACUGCGGAUCACAGGAGCGUCGGUUGUGAAAUAUACAUGAUCGCUGCGAUACGUUAUGCAAUUGGUGUGGAUCACGUGUCGCAAUCGCUGAAUCGAAUUCGCAUUCGCACGGGGUAGAGAUAAUCUCAAGGAAAAUGCUGAUGCUGAACGAUGAAAGGCGGAGAAAGAAAACACGGACAAUUCGCAUCAUGCUUCCACGAGUCCAGCUCAGAGUUGUGCAUGAUACUUAUAAUUGUCAGUUACUCUGGCCAAUAUGGUAAAGCGUUGACUGAAGAAUAUAACGACGAAUACCUUUUUCUGGUGGGCCUGGGAGCAUAGGAGGGUUCUGCUUUAUCGACUCUACGUAACGAGCAUGCAGCCGCCACGGAGUAGCAGCCAAAGUAGCGUCGGUAUGGAAGCUUGAGAUUAAUUGGAGAGAUGGAAAUCAGCUUCGUAAAACUACGAGUGUAUUUUAACUAACACUUGAAAGGUACGAGCAAAAAUUGUUUUCAUCCAACUGUCGCAGAAUGGCAGCGUUAUUAGCUGACCCGUUAACUGAAGAAUAUAUCUUUGGUCAACGGCUGACCGUCGGAGGGCCGAGCCACUUCAGUCUGCAAUCGGCAGGAGAGAUAUGCUGCGUAUUUCUUGUCUGAAAUCUGAAGACUAAAUAAUUACACAUCAUAUCAUAUCACCAUAUAUCAUACAUCAUACAUCAUACAUCAUCAUACAUAGUAUUAAAGUUCGAAACCAAAGUUUGGGUGUUCAGAAAAUGACGUGACCCAAAAUUUUUUUUCUCUUGACGUGAUCGAUCUACAGUAAUCAGCUAGCCAAAUUCCUCAGUCUGGAAACGAUCGCGGAGUACAGCGGACGGAUGUGAACCGCGCUCCGCAGAUUUUGAGUAACGGGAUCUGUACUUCCUGGAUCCUGCGCUUAAGGUCCGCUACCUGGUGAAUCUGAUCUAUCAGGACAAGCGCUUCGUGGUUCGUGCGAAGCAGGUACGCUACCUGGAGAAACUCGAGUUCCGGGACAAGCGCUCCGUAGUUUCUAUGCUCCAGGUCCGCUACCUGGUGAAAUUUGACUUUCAGGACUAGCACUCCGUGGUUCCUGCGCUGCACGUCCGCUACCUGGUGACACUCGACUUCAGGGACAAGCGCUCAGUGGUUCUGGCUGUCCAGGUCCUUGACCUAGUGACUUUUGACCGUCGGAACUAAUUUUCCGUAGUUCUGGUUAAACUUGUCAUGUUGAUAAUAAAUUAUUUCAAUUCAUUUUUCACUCAA